rfam:Anolis carolinensis chromosome 3, whole genome shotgun sequence.
GUUAUUUGCCCAAAUUCCUUGAAAGCACCAGAUUAUGUCUGAUCUGAAAAACUAAGCAGGGUUAGACCUGGUGAGUACUCAGAAGGGAGGCCACCAGGAAAUAUCAGGUGCUGUAAUUA